rnacentral:lncRNA from 1 species
CCCUAUCCUGAAGCUACUUAUAUGCUCUCUAGGAACAUAGUCCUACAGACGAAACAAACAGCAACGACAUUGCAGUGGGGGGAGGUUCAUGUGUAUGUACCAGAUGUACUUGGCGACGACCCCGUUGGUCCCGAUGGCGAGGGCCGGAUCCUUGAACUCGGAUGCUCCUCAAGGCAACAUCACACGGACAAUGAUGCACCAGGGAACAAGACAGAUUGCAAAAGAGGGGACAGAGGGUUCUGCACAUAAGAGGAGAAUGCCUUACUCAUCUCCAGUUUGACAUUUUUGCAAUCACAAAUAUUCCAUUGUAUCACAGUUCUUCAAUUGAAUAUAUGUUUCAUUCAAUUUCAGCAUGUUCUGAAUCUUUAUUGCCUAGAAUGAAAAAUGGAAGCGUUAUUCCAUAAGAGAAGCAAAUCAAAAUGAUUUCCCUAUACUUCCAUAUAAGCUUGGUAUUUAAGAAGCCACACUUUCAUUUCAAGAAAAUUCACCUACAUCAACUGAUUCACCUUUCCCUUGGCGUGCACUCAAAGUCUUCUCAACUCCUGAACGCAAAGACAUGCUCGCGUAUAUUGACAUGUCAAUUGACUUUUAGCCAUAGAAAACUGCUGAAUCCAGCUUGCAUAACAUGAACAGAAAAAAAGAACCAGUAUUAAAAGGAUACAUGAACAUAAAUCAUUAAUUUAUCUUCAGUUAGCUACACAUAUUGCAUGGUGAGGCAUCUUCAGAACUUUAGAUGAUUGUUGGUUUAAGUUAUAUUGGCCGUUGUAGCAUGAAGCUUGAUUUUGAGAGCACACACAUGAUAAGAAUGGAUACAGAGCACAUAUUUUGGUUUCCAUGUUCCUGUAAAAGUACUAACCAGCAAUUUGAUCAAAUAAGGAUCAUGUAAGGACCUAACGAUGUUCCGGUAAAUGAAGCCAAGAACUGUCGUUACUAAGCGCACCUCUGCACGUACAAAUCUGAAAUUGUGUACCUUCAAUCUACUCCAUGAUUAAGUUCUUCGUGCCAGGAGAAGAGAUGACAAGAUCUCUCUCAUUGUCUGCUCGGGUACGUCAGUUCUAUCAUGGUGGGUUCUAAUAAAUCUAUAGAAAUAAAAUGUAUGGUGGGUUCUAAUAAAUCUGCUUAGGUACAUCAGUUCUAUCAUGGUGGGUUCUAUCAUGAUUAAAGCUUCAAGUACAUCAGUUCUGCUCAGGAAAAUACAAUGAUCUCUGAAGAAAUUGUCUUCUCCAGACUGACGAACUGCAGCAUUAGUACUGACUUCUAAUAAAAUUCGACCAACAGCGUGUCAAUCAAUAUCAAAUCUCUUGAAUAGUAAGAUGGGCUGGACAAGAACAAAACACCAUGCCCAUGCAAUGCAAGGAGGAAGAAGGCCGCCAUCCAUGACCCUAGGGGAUGGAGUGGCGGAGAGGGGAGGAAUCACCUGGGGAAGAUAGGCUGCCGGAGGAAGACGCCGGCAUUGAAGCUCCGGCAGCGGCUGUGCGUUGAAGCUCCGGCAGCGGCUGGGCACUAAAGAUCGGCGGCGGGCUCCUCCUCUCGUCUGUCUCUGCGUCUCGCCAGAUCUGUUCCGCGUGGGUGCCUCAAGGCUGGGUAUCUGCGUGUAUAGAGAGGGAUCGACGGGGUUUCGAGAGCCACCAGGGAGCCUCUUUCCGCGGCAGCGUGGCUGGGCAGCGGGGUGUCUGUGCAUCGGCGCGAGGGCGGCGAGGGGCAUGUGCAGCGACAUGGGGGCCAGUCGGGCGGUCGGGGGCCGAUGGCUUGGGGGGCAACGGGGGCGAAGAGGAGCAGCACGGUUACCCCGAACGGGACGGCGGACCUGUCGAAGGAGGAGGUGAGGUGGACGACGACGUCGUGCGCGAGGAGGACGAGGGAUGGUAAUGGGGAGAGAUCUGGAGACGGAUGAGAAUCGUGGGGGAAGUGGACGAUGUGCGGGGAUGGUCGCAGUUGUUUCUUU